rnacentral:lncRNA from 1 species
UGCCUAUGCUGAAUUGCUCCAAUCUUCUGGGUUACUGGGUUCCAAAAAUUUGUGAUCCAAACAGUCCUUCAUUGGCUAUGUUGCGACCUAAUGCACCACUUAGCUCUGCCCUUAUUAACAUGUUUGGUUCAAGGUAUGUUUUGUGCUCGUUUUCAUGGAACUGGAAACUACAAUUUGGAGAUGCACGAGUCAUUGGUGCUCCUGCAUGCAUUUCCCAUGGCAGCUCUUGUUUAUCAACUCAAGUUCAACACGAGUUCCACUGGAAAUUAGUUUCUUAAGCUUGUAAUCACUGUUGGAUGCUCAGUAAGCUUGUCGAUGAAAAUGACUCGCUGCUUGACACACUUACUCUAGAAGAUACACCAUUUUGUCCUGGAGAUGCCCGCUGUCUUCGGCUGUGUUUCUUAGAUUUUUUCUAUGUAUUUACCUAUCCAUUUCACCUUGCAGUGACAUCACAGCCCUGGCAAAAGCCAAGGUCUACUACACAUAUGUUGGGCUGGAUGAGAUGACCAUUCAUCUGGUAUGCUAGUAAAUGCCACAUUCAUCUCGGUCAAGUCUUUUGGUUGAAAGCUGAAACAACUGGUUUGAGCUAGCUGACCUUGUUUAACUUAAUUAUUAUAUAUGGUGAUUUGGUUAGAGGAACUAUUCUGGGAAGAGGUGGGAAUUUGAAAAUCACUAUCUCGCUGCUAUUCUCUCUAAGCAGUUUGGAAAAUAUAUAGGUUGGGGAUGUUAUGGUUGAUUUUGUGCUUCUUUGGAGGAAUCGACUUUUUUGUGUGUGUUGCGCACACAUUCAUGUCUGUAGUGUUUGAUUGACUUUCUUUUUUUCG